GGUCUUCACCAAUGCCACUUGAGCUCGAUCGCAGCAAGGACCACUUAUCGAUGGCUCAGAGUGUCAGUGUCACUGACUGAGCACCAGACUGCCAAGGGGCUGUUAAAGUCUUCUGCACCUGAUAUUAGUGUAGACAACAAUGCUCCCCCAUCGGACCACCAGGGAAGUCUCUCCACCAGGGAAAGGUAAGCAGAAGGGAGGUAUAUAUCCACUCAAACACUCGCACACACAACAUUCAAACGCACAGGCACACUCAGCCACCCAUACAGCUCUCAGCCUCCUCAAC